CGCCCGUCCCGCCGCCCCCGCCCGUGGCGGACGGGUGAGUAACGCGUGGGGAACCUGCCUCAGACCGGGGGAUAGCAGCUGGAAACGGCUGGUAAUACCGCAUAAGCGCACAGCUCCGCAUGGAGCGGUGUGAAAAACUCCGGUGGUCUGAGAUGGACCCGCGUCUGAUUAGCCAGUUGGCGGGGUAACGGCCCACCAAAGCGACGAUCAGUAGCCGGCCUGAGAGGGCGGACGGCCACAUUGGGACUGAGACACGGCCCAGACUCCUACGGGAGGCAGCAGUGGGGGAUAUUGCACAAUGGAGGAAACUCUGAUGCAGCGACGCCGCGUGAGUGAAGAAGUACUUCGGUAUGUAAAGCUCUGUCAGCAGGGAAGAAAGGCCCCGCAAGGGGAGAUGACGGUACCUGAAAAAAAAGCCCCGGCUAAUUACGUGCCAGCAGCCGCGGUAAUACG
rnacentral:rRNA from 1 species